GGAGAGAUGGCAGAGCGGUUGAAUGCGGCGGUCUUGAAAACCGUUGGGCGCGCAAGCGUUCCGGGGGUUCGAAUCCCCCUCUCUCCGCCA
rnacentral:tRNA from 3 species